rnacentral:rRNA from 1 species
AUUGAACGCUGGCGGCAGGCCUAACACAUGCAAGUCGAACGAGUGGCGGACGGGUGAGUAAUGUCUGGGAAACUGCCCGAUGGAGGGGGAUAACUACUGGAAACGGUAGCUAAUACCGCAUACCACAGGAUGUGCCCAGAUGGGAUUAGCUAGUUGGUGGGGUAACGGCGCACCUAGGCGACGAUCCCUAGCUGGUCUGAGAGGAUGACCAGCCAAGCUGGAACUGAGACACGGUCCAGACUCCUACGGGAGGCAGCGUUGAGGAGUAUUGCACAAGGGGCGCGAGCCUGAUGCAACCAUGCCUCGUGUAUGAAGAAGGCCUUCGGGUUGUAAAGUACUUUCAGCGGGGAGGCGUUACUCGCAGAAGAAGCACCGGAUAACUCCGUGCCAGCAGCCGCGGUAAUUC